ACAAGUAUUGUUGCAAAUUCAGGUCUAUUUCUUUGAUCUUCAAUGGUCAUUUGGAUAUCUGCUAUAAUAUUUGGUUGUUUAAUGGCUAGGAAUGCUUGUUGCCUAAUUAAAAAACCUGAAUGAUAACUAGAAAAUGUUCUUUGUUGAACUAUACUUUCAUUUUUUUUUAAUUGUUUUUAUCGUAUUUGUGAUGUUAUUUUUCUUGUUAGCAUAUAUCCAUUAUUAAUUUGACACUCACUGCUACUGAGAUUUGGGGUUUUAUAAUGUUGUUCUUGUUGUAUUUAUGCUGUGAUUUGAACUUGGAGAGUAACUAUGUGUAGCUGGUGAGGGCUGACUCCUUUGUGUAGCCCAAAUAUUAAAUGAAAAGAGAAAGAGAGAGGGGGAGAGGGGGGUUGUUUACAAUUACAUAAUGCUCCAUAAUCACCAUGAUAAACUGGAUUUUAACUGAUUUUGUUUUGUUAUUAAUGAAUGACUUCAUAUGCUUCUUUAGAAUUGAAUGACCCUCUACUUAAAUUAAGGUUGCAGUUAUUGAAGUUCUCUAUCCAAUCGUUAUCAUGUUACGAAAACGCUUACCCUUCCUAAAAUUUUAGAUUGUCCUUGCCUACAGGCUCAAAAUGAGGAAUUUUCUG
rnacentral:misc_RNA from 1 species